rnacentral:rRNA from 1 species
GCUCGUAGUUGGAUUUCGGGUGGGUUCCAGCGGUCCGCCUAUGGUGAGUACUGCUGUGGCCCUCCUUUCUGUCGGGAACGGGCUCCUGGGCUUCACUGUCCGGGACUCGGGUUCGACGAUGAUACUUUGAGUAAAUUAGAGUGUUCAAAGCAAGCCUACGCUCUGAAUACUUUAGCAUGGAAUAUCGCGAUAGGACUCUGGCCUAUCUCGUUGGUCUGUAGGACCGGAGUAAUGAUUAAGAGGGACAGUCGGGGGCAUUCGUAUUUCAUUGUCAGAGGUGAAAUUCUUGGAUUUAUGAAAGACGAACUACUGCGAAAGCAUUUGCCAAGGAUGUUUUCAUUAAUCAAGAACGAAAGUUGGGGGCUCGAAGACGAUUAGAUACCGUCGUAGUCUCAACCAUAAACGAUGCCGACUAGGGAUUGGAGGAUGUUCUUUUGAUGACU